rnacentral:rRNA from 6 species
GGUUAAGCGACUAAGCGUACACGGUGGAUGCCCUGGCAGUCAGAGGCGAUGAAGGGCGUGCUAAUCUGCGAUAAGCGCCGGUAAGGUGAUAUGAACCGUUAUAACCGGCGAUACCCGAAUGGGGAAACCCAGUGUGAUUCGUCACACUAUCAUUAACUGAAUCCAUAGGUUAAUGAGGCGAACCGGGGGAACUGAAACAUCUAAGUACCCCGAGGAAAAGAAAUCAACCGAGAUUCCCCCAGUAGCGGCGAGCGAACGGGGAGGAGCCCAGAGCCUGAAUCAGCAUGUGUGUUAGUGGAAGCGUCUGGAAAGGUGCGCGAUACAGGGUGACAGCCCCGUACACAAAAGCGCAUGUGCUGUGAGCUCGAUGAGUAGGGCGGGACACGUGGUAUCCUGUCUGAAUAUGGGGGGACCAUCCUCCAAGGCUAAAUACUCCUGACUGACCGAUAGUGAACCAGUACCGUGAGGGAAAGGCGAAAAGAACCCCGGCGAGGGGAGUGAAAAAGAACCUGAAACCGUGUACGUACAAGCAGUGGGAGCACAGGUUUACCUGUGUGACUGCGUACCUUUUGUAUAAUGGGUCAGCGACUUAUAUUCUGUAGCAAGGUUAACCGUAUAGGGGAGCCGGAGGGAAACCGAGUCUUAACCGGGCGUUAAGUUGCAGGGUAUAGACCCGAAACCCGGUGAUCUAGCCAUGGGCAGGUUGAAGGUUGGGUAACACUAACUGGAGGACCGAACCGACUAAUGUUGAAAAAUUAGCGGAUGACCUGUGGCUGGGGGUGAAAGGCCAAUCAAACCGGGAGAUAGCUGGUUCUCCCCGAAAGCUAUUUAGGUAGCGCCUCGUGAAUUCAUCUCCGGGGGUAGAGCACUGUUUCGGCUAGGGGGCCAUCCCGGCUUACC